GAUGAAGAACGUAGCGAAAUGCGAUAAGUAAUGCGAAUUGCAGAAUCCGUGAGUCAUCGAAUCUUUGAACGCACAUUGCGCCCUGUGGUAUUCCGCAGGGCAUGCCUGUCCGAGCGUCAUUUCAACCCUCAAGCGCUGCUUGGUGUUGGGCCCUGCCCGCGGCGGCCGGCCCCAAAGACAGUGGCGGCGCCGCCUGGCUCUAAGCGUAGUACAGCUCUCGCUCCAGGGUCCGGCGGUGGCUAGCCAGAACCCCCCAACCCCCGUGGUUGACCUCGGAUCAGGUAGGGAUACCCGCUGAACUUAAGCAUAUCAAUAAGCGGAGGA
rnacentral:misc_RNA from 1 species